rnacentral:rRNA from 1 species
CCUACGGGGGGCAGCAGUCUAGAGGCUUCGGCAAUGGACGAAAGUCUGACCGAGCGACGCCGCGUGUGGGAUGAAGGCCUUCGGGUCGUAAACCACUGUCAGAGGGGAAGCGGUACCCUCAGAGGAAGCCCCGGCUAACUCCGUGCCAGCAGCCGCGGUAAUACGGAGGGGGCAAGCGUUAUUCGGAUUUACUGGGCGUAAAGGGUGCGUAGGCGGUCGAGCAAGUCUGAUGUGAAAUCUUACCACUCAACGGGAAGAGGUCAUUGGAAACUGCACGACUUGAGUUUGGUAGAGGCUAGCGGAAUUCCUGGUGUAGCGGUGGAAUGUGUAGAUAUCAGGAAGAACACCUGUGGCGAAGGCGGCUAGCUGGGCCAAACUGACGCUGAGGCACGAAAGCGUGGGGAGCAAACGGGAUUAGAUACCCUUGUAGUC